rnacentral:rRNA from 1 species
UACAGAGGGUGCAAGCGUUGUUCGGAAUUAUUGGGCGUAAAGGGCGCGUAGGCGGUGCGGUAAGUCUGCGGUGAAAUCUCCCGGCUCAACUGGGAGGCUGCCGUGGAAACUGCCGUGCUUGAGUGUGGGAGAGGUGAGUGGAAUUCCCGGUGUAGCGGUGAAAUGCGUAGAUAUCUGGAGGAACAUCGGUGGCGAAGGCGGCAUCCUGGACCGGUAUUGACGCUGAGGCGCGAAAGCCAGGGGAGCAAACGGG